UGUUGGCACUACAGGGCAGAUCACUGUGCCUAGUCAAUGAGUCAUUUUAAAGAGGACAGACUUUAGUUGGGAAGUUGAAAAAAAUUGUCCUGGGGGGAGAUGGUGGCUACACUGGAAAGCAAUGCGAUUGUACUUAAUGCCAUUCAGCUGCGCUUGUGGAAAUGGCUAAAAGAAAAUGUCUAGGUAUCCAGAGAAAAGAGGAUGGCCCUGCUGAGGAUGGUCCUGUCCUUCCAGAUGACUGAUUCAGAGUCUAGCCAUACAAGCCUUUGCUGGAUGUGAUAAAGACCCUGAGCUGAACUCAUGCCUGGCUGCCUGCACCGUUCCCAAAGUGGCUGCCUUGCUGAUCAGGAUGCGUGCAGACAUCUGUGCAGAAUAACAAUGUGGAGGAAGCCCUUGCAGAGACUGUUUCUUCGCUCAAGUACUUCACUGCCAUUCAGCGUCACACUCGCAGAAGGCAUGCUCACUUUCCUCCGUGUCAUACUGAAAAGCAUCAGUUGGAAUUGGGAGCUGGAGACACACUAGCAAGGCUGAGCUGGACUGGAGAGCUGGAGUCCUAACACCACCACUAUCGACUCCUCUAUUCCAUCGCUCUUAAGCAGAAGCUCCUGUCGGCUGUCUUGAAAUUCACGCUCAGUUCUUCUCCCCCAAUUUUCCUUCCAUUCUCAGGUAAGAAUGAGUCUUGUGUCAUUGCCUUCUUCUCAAGCCAGUACCUUUCUCUAGUUCUCAUUUGUUCUCGAACCCCAGUAUGAUGUCCUUCCUAUGGCCACCCUUCCAGGACUCUCGUCCUAAGUGCUUGAGUCAUAGGAUCUUUGCAGUUGCAUUGUCUCGAAUGCACCCCAUCCCAUCACCUUCCCACAAUGAUUCUUCAGCUCUGAGUUGGCCAUUCCUUUGUUCACAAAGUCCCAAGCACACAUGUGUCCUCGUGGAACACAGAAGCUGGGGCAGUGUUUUCCCACUGUGUUUUCAGUUGCACGCCACUAUAGUACUGGCCCAAGUGAGAGGUGUCUACAUCUUCAGUGAGGUGAGCAGAGCAUCGAUGCUGCUUGCUGGGUUUGUAGGUAUGCAGAAUGCAGGAGUUAUGGGGUCAUGAAGCCUUACACUGAAGAUCCGGAAAAUAAGCUGGUGAAACCAAGCACUAUAGUAUAUAGCAAUGUUAGAUCCUUUGCAAAAGAACCUGAGAGGUCCUUGCUUGUAACCCUGAAAAUGAAACCUGAGUUGCAAUGGAGACACCAGGACAUAUCACAAACAUGGAACUUCUGCUGAGAAAAGGUGGCAACACUGCGUGGAGCUGCUUCAAGACAGAACUAUACCUAAGCCUACUAGAGACCAGACUAUGCUACCAGAAGACCUAAAUGCUAUAAAUGAAGAGUUGCAAUGGUAUUUGCUCUGCUGGGGUUUGGUCUUGGCUGAACUUUUCUCCCUGUACCCCAUUCCUCUUGAUUGGGAUAUAAAUGUUUCCUCUGUGCCAUGAGACUGUGAUUUUUUUUUGUUAUCUCACAGGGGCUCAUGGCUAUGAGAUUUUGGGGACUUUUGAAGUUAGAUUAAAUAUAUUACAUAUUAUGAGAUGGCCUUUAGCCUAUGGAGGCCAGAGGCUAACUCUUAGCCUUGAGUGUGGACUAUAUCCUACAAGCUCAUGUGCUUGAAUACUCUGUACCCCUUAGGUGAUGCUGUUUUUGAAGUUUGGGGAACCUUUAGGAGGUGGAGUCAGGUUCAAGGGAAUGGGAUGCUUAGGUCAGGGAGCCUUGUGGCCCCCAGUUUCCUUGCAUGUUCUGGCUGCUUCCUGGUUCAUCAAUAUGUGAACAAAUCACUCACCCUCUUACCACCAUGGAACUCUCUCACCCCACCAUGAAAUUGUGAAUCCCCCAAAUCAAUUUCUCCCUGAAGUUGCUGCUUUCCAGUUAUUUGUUACAAUGAUGAGAAAAGUACCUCAUUCCUUCUUUCCCCAUGACAUGUUCACCUACAAAUAGAGACACAGUAUAUACUCACAACUUUAAUAGGUCAUUAGCUGGGGUGGUGGAAAGUUGACGGGCUUUGAUUUUUGUCCUUCAUGUGUUGUCAAUUUCAAAUAAAUUAAGUUAGUCCCAAGAAAACAAAGUCUGAAUUUCACAAUUUUCUGAGAAUUAUUGGAACCAGGUCUUCCACAUGAGAUAUGAGUCUAUAAAUAUUUUCAGUGCCUAAUGCAGUAAUUACAUUUUGGUGCUGAUACACAUGUAAAUGUUUUCAUAUUCCUACCACAUGCAUGUUGGAGUGUACACACAUUUUUCUUUAUUUUUUUUUCGUUCAGAGAAGCACAUAAAAUACAAAUCUCUUUACUUCAAAGUCAGAGCAGAGGAGUUGGAGUUCUAAAUAUUUUCUGAUUUGGAGUGGUGUUCCACGACACUAGCAUGAAACCAACUCUUCAUCAAAGUGGUUUGCUUCAAUCAGGGCUGUACCGAUGCGCUAUAAAUUAUAAAUCAUAUCUUCUGUUUUACAUGGGAAUGGAAGCUUGGAGGUGGCUCGCACUCCAACAGACGGACUUGAGGUAGUUUCAUGUCCUCGGUUGCUUAUGAUUUGCUUCUAAGGUCAUUUUCAAAGACUCUGCCAUUAACUUCAGAGGCAACCCGGCAAGGAGCUUUCAGCAGCUAAGUAUGGGUUUUGGCACGGGUUCUGAUAGUUAAACAAGGCAGCGAGGAAUCACAAACAAGGAGCCAGGAGGGACGAGUGGGAGGGAAAGGUGGCUGGGAGGGAAUGGGGAGAGAGAAAUGACACCCACCGUCAUACUAGUCACCUCUCACUGGGUUCUUGGUUCCUUCCUGGACAAGAAAUGAAAGGGAAGGAGUGCAGAUCUGAGUAGUGACAGGAGUACCAGCAUUUCAGUCUAACCUAUGCUUCUGGUUUUCCCUGGGGCUGUGGGAAAGCUGAAGACCCCAGUCAUCCAUCACAUUCAUGGUCCCACCUUAAGUCCAGGAUCAUUUUAUCUUGAAAUGAUCAAAUAAGACAGCCCCCCCCCCCUCAGAUUGUAGGUAGACUUGAAGGGUGUGUGUGUGGCUACCAUCCAGCCUCCCACAUCCCUUGAGCAUGCUGCUGUCCUGGCUGUGAUCUCUCUCGUGCCCAACUUGUACCUUCUCUUUUGAGAACAGCCCAGGUUGGUGUCCCAUUCACAAUCCCCCUGCCUUAGCUCCCUAAGUGCUGGGUUUUUAGUCCUGUUGCAAUCACUUCGCACUUUCCCUGUGCUCUUUGGAGCCUCUGAAUCUAGUAUCUAAAGUGCUUGCUAAUGGUUGGUACAGCCAGGAUCCUUGGGACUCUGUCUGCUCUGACACCCCGAGGUUCUAGACACCACCGACAGUGCACAUCAUCUCAGUGAGGACCAAAGAAGCUUUGGAAUCAGGUGGACAGAAGACAGUGGCUGCAGAGUAUGUUAUAGAAAACCAGGAGCUGAUAUGAUAAUGGUGGUGAGUAUAUCUGCGCACACGCACAGCCAGGAGUACACUUGUAUGUGAGAAAAGACUGUUUGACCAAGCUGGAUUCCUUGUCUAUGUGCCUGGGCAAGGCAUGGUUUCCCAUAUGUGUUCCUUCCUGCUGUGUUUUAUUGCUUGGGGUGCCCAUCUUCCGCUCUUGGGAGAUACAUUAGUAAUCCGUGUUCCAGAGGUUUACUUUCAAAGUUUUCAAUGACCUGUGGUUAAGUGAGAUCCCAGAAUAUGAAACGGAAAAUUACAGUAAAAAAAAAAUUCUAAGUUUGGAAUUGCGUGCUGUUCUGUGUAGUGUGAUGAAAUCUUUUACCACACCAACCAGGACAUGAAUCACCCCAUAGCCUAGCACAGCAUGCUGCAUGCGUCACAGAGCUGUUAGUCACUCCCUAGCUGUCUCCUUCGUCAGACCAACUGUUGCAUAUCACAGUGCUGUGGAGCUGGUGAUUCAGGUAUGUCCUCCCAAGGGACAAAGAGUGAGUUGGGGGUAUCAGUCAUGUGCCGCACAAACACCCCACUUCUUUCUUCCAUCCAGCACAUGGUAGGUACUCCUCAAGCCCUUUUAAAGUUUUGGCACGGACAAGGGAAUGUAAGCAAAAGUGAUACAUUACUUCCAGGAGGAAGCAUGAUUUUCUACCUCCUUUCCCCACUGCUGCAGAAACAGAAGCACCCAUUGAACACCAGUCUCUGAAUAAAGGAAUCUGUUUGCAGAGCCCCCUGCUGGCCGGUGGUGGACACACAGUACAAAAGAGAAAUCACCACACUGCUUUACAUUUCUGAGCAGGCUUGUUACUGCAGCAUGACACAACCUCUUCUGGCUAAAUAAAUAAUGUACGUGACGUACUUGCUUUUGUAACUCCUAUAACAUAUAGUGUCCGAUGUUUAGUAGGUUCUCAAUAAUAUUUGAUAAAUUAAGCAGUGAAUGUAAACACAUUUAGCUUGAAAAGGAACAGCCAUCCAUCACAUAUAUAAACAAAGUAGCUGCUGUACUAAGGGGAAAUGGGGUUUGGAAUUAGAUAGUGUAGAUAGCGUUUCAAACUGGAACAAAUGUAUGCUUUAAUCAUACCUAUCUCAUUGGUAGGGUUGUGAUUUAAACUAUUGCCUUUAGCAUAUUUAUUUUAUUGAUGCCUUAGUAAUUAAAAAGAAAAGAAAGAAAAGAGAAAAAGAAGGCAGGAAAAAGAAUUAGUAGUUGCUGGUGAUAUAAAACAAGGCAGAAGACUCAGCAGGUGGUAGAGAUAACAGUUUUCUACUCUCAAGGCUUGACUUAAUGUGAGAGCUUGCCCAUUACUCACUAUUCUUAUCUUUUGACUCAUCCCGCUCAGUUAUUUAUUCUCCAAGUAUUUAUUGAGCAGGUAGGUGCUGAGUCCUUGGCUAGGUGGCUGAUUCUCUCCUGAAGCUCAGCUGUGUAAGGUGUUAAGAGCCAGCAUAAGGACUGCCACAGUCAGCUCCAAAGAUUGGUGGGAGGAGGAAUCCAUCAGAUUUGGGACCAAAGACUUGCUUUGUUUCACUACCUUGUAUCUUCUCAUUCCAUAGUUCUCCAGCCCUUCAAUUUCCUUCCCUACAGCUGGUCCUCAACGCCUUUGUCUGGCACAGCAGCUCUCUGAGAGAGAGGAGAGGAAUACAUUGUUCCCAUUUGUAAGGUGAAGAAACUGGCACCAAGAGAAUGAGACAGAGGCCGAAUGAAGACACUGUGGCCAGCAACUUAUGCUCACUGUCAGAGGAGAACAGCUGCUCCAAGCAGGAAAGCUGGUCAGAGACUAGUGACUUCCUCACCUGGUGAAGGUCAUUUGAUGACUCAGUAUCAAAGUCAGCACUAAAAUGAAAACAACAAUAACAAGAAAAGGUAACAAUUGUUGGCAAGAGCCCUGUGUGUUACUGACAGAAAGUUAGAUGGUACAGCCCCUGAGGAUAAACGGUAAGGUGGUACCUCAAAAAAUUAAACGUGACUUACCUGAAGAUACAGAAACUUCAUUCCCACCUGCCAGCGGGUCCAGAGGAACCAGAGAAGAUAUUUGUAAACCUACAUUGUUAACAACGUUAUUUACAUUAUCUAGAAGGCAGAAGCAACCCUUGUCCAUAAUAGGCAAACGGACACACCACAUGGCAUGUACACCUCCCAGGGAAUCUCAUUUCAUUGUUGAAGGAAGAAAAUGCCAGGGCACCCUGCAGCAGAAGGAACAUGGAGGACACUGGGGAGGGGCCAGCUGGACCAGGAUGAGACUCUACUUUGAAAGAAAUGCCACAGAGCUUCUAGAUAUCAAUCACAUACAAGAGGCAGCUGAGGGGUGAGUUCAGCUAAAUAUCCCAUUAAGUUGCCUGUGGUCUUCCCCUCCGCUGAGGAGGAGGGGAAAAAAGCAUUGGGGGGAGAGCACUGGCACUUCAGUAAUCCCUACAAAACUUGGACCUCCCGUGUAGUGCUGGGUGUAGGUAAGGCACAGGAUAACUGGUAUGGAAAGCAGUAUGACAGAGCCUGAAAAUUCUAAACACAGGACUGACAAGUGCUCUGGUGGUCUACCUCUGGGUUUCUAACCCAGACAAUCAAGAGCAGAGAUUCUGGAGGGCAGUCUCUGCACACGUGUUUAUAAUAACACCGUUCGCAAUCGGCCAAAGUUAGAGACAACAGGACAUCCAUGGAUUUAAUGACAUCACCUUGGCCAAGAUUCAGGAAUUCGGGACUCCAAGUUAUCCUGAACAGUCUAAAACCGAAAAUGGAAAGAUGAUUUUGCUUUGAGUCCAUGUGAACUCUGUGGAUGAGGGGAUGGACGCGGAGAACAUCUAUUCUGAGUAGAUGAGUUAAACAUAAAACUCUCAACACCAGUGAGGAAAUCAGAUUCCACGUUCACUUAAACUGUCCGCAGAGACCUUCAUUUUACAAACAAGAAACCCAGUGAAGGAAAGUCUGGCCUGGCAUUCCUUUCAUUUGCAGAUGUUGUGUAUCCUCAUUAUUCAUUGUAAACAGAGAAGGCUCCGUGCCACCUCAGUCAUACUGCAGGAGGAUGUUUUCACCAGCUCAGAAAAGGGGGGAAUGGGUGUAAAAAUAUUUAUGCUGCAUUUUCCAGGACUGUGUUUGAUUUCCUUUUUGGUUUGUUUAUUUUGUGGAAUGAGAGGGAUGGUGCAUCUUAUUUUUACAAGCUUGUAUUGUUACCCCAGGAAUGUUUUGGCAGAUGCAAAAUUAAAAACAAACUUCAUGUUUUCUUCAGUGCCCUUCAGGGCCCGAAAGGACAGGAACAAAGUAUCGUGGUUUGUCAUCAGAGCGCCAGGAAGCCACAAGGAAACGGAGUUUAUGAACCAAAUUGCUCAAAACGGGAAAGAAAUGAAAAAUGUGCAGCAGAUGCUCCCAGACUGGAGAACAAGCCAGAGGAAGGCCCACAGCAAAGCUUAUUGGCCUUCAACAAUAGCUGUUUGCACGCACAUGCGCGCGCAUGCGCACACACACACACACACACACACACACACACACACACACACCAAUUCUCUUCUAUAGUCAUUUCCCUGGGAUUUGAAAUUGAUAACUGUGGACACAAAGACACACUUGGCCUAAUUUGUCAGGCUAUUUGGAGUCAUGGGUGUCACCCUGCAUGUCUGGUAUGUGUACAGAUGGCUCCUGCUGGCUUCAAUAAAAUUGGAAAGCAGAAAGUCUGUAAUUUUUUUUCCAGACCAUUUAAAGGGGUUGCUUGUCAGUGCCCUGGUGUUGAAAUGGGAAUGUUAUACUGACUUUCUGGAAGUGUUCCCCAUGUUUAUAGACUGGUAACACAAUGUGUGGGUGAAAGAGAGAGCGAGCCAAUCAAUACUGUCAUCCAGUCUACUGAGUGCUUCAGCCAAACGUGCCCCCCCCCCGCCCCCGUUUUGCUGGUAAGCAAUGCUCCUGCUUGAUCAUGCAAGCAUUCAUUAAGGCAGCAAUUUCCAAAUCACUUUGCCAUUCUUUUGCAAUAUCCAUCAUUUAUCUACUUUUCAAAGACACUUGGUUUGUUUAAAAAUAAAAUAAAUUACCAGGGAAUCUGAGGCAGGCGGCUUACCUACUUCAAGACAACAUAGGGGAGAUCAUAUAUUACAAACAAAGCAAAGUAACAACAACAACAAUAAUAAUAAUUCUACAAAGUUUACAUUGUAACUCUGAAGAGAAACAAACAACUCACCACUACUACAAAGUAGCUAUCAAAAUUAUCUUGCCUAUCUAAGGUUGGGGAGUUGCAAGUAGGUGUCCACAGGGCAGAUAGAGAUGCUGAAGUAGAGAACAUCUCUGAAGAUGAAGAUGGAAGGGCAGUGGGGAAGGGACUGAACUAACUCUGAUGCCUGUGAAGGCUGUCUCCAUCCUGGAAGUAGACAUUUAUCUUGUGUUAGACCAGUGGUUUUCAACCUUCCCAAUGCUGCUACCCUUUAACACAGCUCCUCAUGUUGUGGUGACAGCCCUCCCCCUCCACCCCCCCCCCGCCGUAUAAUUACUUUGCUAAUACUUCAUAACUGUAAUUUUGCAACUGUUAUGAAUUGUAACGUAAAUAUCUGAUAUGCAGAAUACCUGAUAUGAGACCUACAAAAGGACAGUGAACCCCAGGUUGAGAACUACUGCUUGUAAGAGGUUUAUUAUUAUUUAUUGUUAUUUCUUGGGUGAAGAAAAAGUACUUACCUUCCGAAACUGAUCCCAGACAUGUUUAUUCCUUUUAUUUGGAUACUUGCACUGUGUGUUCCAAAGGGAGAUUAAUAUGUGAUAGUCCCCUUAACAGCUGUUGUUUCUGGAAAAUGUAGAUUCAGGCACUUGGUUUUGUGAUUUUGAGGGUUCUCACAGAGAAGCCGGCUACACAGACAAGCAAAGGAAAGAUUAGAGAAGUCUGUUUGCCCAAAGUCACACUUGGGUAACUCAAAUCAGGCUGCCUAUAAUUUGGGGCAUCUUCUUACUGUCUGCAUUUUGCAGUAUGUUAAACUCGUUUACAUUUGGUGUUUUGUGUCUAGACAAACACGUUUGUCCUGAAAAGUGCUUGCUUUCUCUCGUGAUGGUCUAGUGCUGCCACAGUUCUGCAUCAUGGCCCAAGCUCCAUGAAAUAAAACGAUGACAAUUGUUCUUACAGCUCUAGGCUGACCCUAGGGAACCAGGUUCAGCACCUGAGAGAGAUACAUUCUAAAUGUCUCCCACUCUGUGCCCUGGGACUCUGGAGCUACCCAGGAUGUACCCUUCCUUGGACAAGGGCACAGAAACAG
rnacentral:lncRNA from 1 species